GCGCCUCCAAACUCAUAAACUCGAGCAUGCACAAGACGUGGAACAUUUUGUCUACCUCAAUUUUCAACCCAAGAUCGGUUAGAGUCUUCUCACACAUAUACCGGGUCGGCGUGAGCUUGCGCUUCCGGUGAAUUUGGUAACGUCGCUCUUGCUCUGGGUUGUCAAACACAAUAUUGUGGGGAUUAGGAUUCCGGCUCGGGCGCUUCCGGGACUUCGCC
rnacentral:lncRNA from 1 species